rnacentral:tRNA from 1 species
GCCGGUGUGGCGGAAUGGCAGACGCAGUGGACUCAAAAUCCACCGGUGGAAACACCGUGCCGGUUCGACCCCGGCUACCGGCACCA